GCUUAGCCACAAACUUUUAAUUACACCACAAACGCCAGGGAACUACGAGCAAAGCUUAAAACCCAAAGGACUUGACGGUGCCCCACAUCCCCCUAGAGGAGCCUGUCCUAUAAUCGAUAACCCCCGUUAAACCUCACCAUUUUUAGCCAAAUCAGUCUGUAUACCUCCGUCGUCAGCUUACCACAUGAGUGGAUCAUAGUAAGUUCAAUGUCAUGCCUAUCAAUACGUCAGGUCAAGGUGCAACUUAUAAAAUGGGAAGAGAUGGGCUACACUUUCUAACUUAGAAGAAACGGAGGACUACUAUGAAAACUAGUCUAAAGGUGGAUUUAGCAGUAAAAAAAGACCAGAGAGCUUUUUUUAAUCCGGCCCUGGGGUGUGUACACACCGCCCGUCACCCUCUUCGCAGCCAUACAACAGUUAUUAACAAAACUUGCACAGUAGAAGAGGUAAGUCGUAACAUGGUAAGUAUACCGGAAGGUGUGCUUGGAAAC
rnacentral:rRNA from 1 species